ACGACCAUAGGGUGUGGAAAAUAGGGCUUCCCGUCCGCUCAGCCGUACUCAAGCCACACGCCGGGAGGUUAGUAGUUGGGUGGGUGACCACCAGCGAAUCCCUUCUGUUGUAUGUA
rnacentral:rRNA from 1 species